AAAUGUUUCCUGCACUGCUUGCUAUAGAUUACUUUACUUCAUGGCGAAUUACGAUUCAUAACAACUUAAUAUUCAACAAUUUUCGUCAAAUUUUUAAGAGUACCUGGAGAAGCAUUUCGUGUACGUUUGAUAAUUAUUAAGUUAUAAUGAUUAAUAAUGAACAUAUCUCACGGAAAUAACAUUUCGUUCAAUCGGUUAUACAGUUGAGCAAAUAUAAGUUUGCAAAGAUGAAAUGUCGGAAAUGUGCCUAACUUUCAGAGCUGGCGAUACAUGCAACGAUCAAUAACAUUCAACUAAUUUUUUAUUAAUAAAUGACUGAUAGAAUGGCUAGUAGAGAAACAUCAAUUAAUUCGAAAAACUCGGAUGACCACAGUGUCGAGACAUUGGCAGAAGUCUUCAGGUGUUUCAUUUGUAUGGAAAAAUUGACAGAUGCACAUCUUUGUCCUCAUUGCAGUAAAUUAUGUUGUUAUACGUGUAUCAGGAGGUGGUUGACAGAACAACGUUCACAAUGUCCUCAUUGUAGAGCUUCCUUGCUUUUACACGAAUUAGUUAAUUGUAGAUGGGUUGAAGAAGUAACACAGCAGCUUGAUACACUUCAAGCUGUUGGUAUUUCAAACUCUAGGCAUGAUGAUUCCAAUAGAGACAGGUGUACUGUGCAUCGUGAAAAAUUGUCUGUUUAUUGCUGGACUUGUCGUAGAUGCAUAUGUCAUCAAUGUGCUCUUUGGGGUGGUACCCAUUCAGGACAUACUUUCAAGCCACUAGAAGAAGUUUAUGAUCAACAUGUUACACAAAUAAAGGCAGAAGUAGGUCAAUUAAAGAGAAGAUUGAUGGAGUUAAUAAGUCUUGUUCAAGAAGUGGAACGAAAUGUUGAAUCUGUAAGAGCUGCAAAAGAUGAAAGAGUUAGAGAAAUUAGAAAUGCGGUUGAAUUGAUGAUAGCACGUUUAGAUUCUCAGUUAAAAGCUAAAUUGUUAACGUUAAUGGGUCAAAAGAAUUCUUUGACAUUAGAAACAGAACAGCUAGAGGCUUUAUUGCAAGAAGUAGAACAUCAAUUACACACUUGUACUCGUUCCGAACUUAUAAUUAAAAGUACAGAUCUUUCACGGAUGAUACAUCAAGUACGAAAGAAACCGAUGACAAGUUUUGUUACUGCUCCUGUUCCAGCUGAUUUUCAUAGCGAAAUCGUUCCGGGAUAUGAUAGUGCUACAUUUGCAAUGCAAAAUUUUACACAAUUGCAGUUAAAAGCAGAUCCAGUAUAUUCUGCGCCCUUACACGUGAAUGGAUUAUGCUGGAGGUUAAAAGUAUAUCCUGAUGGAAACGGUGUUGUACGCGGAAAUUAUUUAUCUGUUUUUCUAGAACUAAGCGCAGGUUUACCGGAAACAUCGAAGUAUGAAUAUCGGGUUGAAAUGAUUCAUCAAGGAUCUCGAGAUACAAGUAAGAACAUCGUUCGAGAAUUUGCUUCUGAUUUCGAAAUUGGUGAAUGCUGGGGCUACAAUAGAUUUUUCAGAUUAGAUUUACUUGCAACCGAGGGGUAUUUAAAUACUGAACUGGAUACUCUUAUAUUACGAUUUCAAGUACGUCCACCAACAUUCUAUCAGCGUUGCAGAGAUCAACAAUGGUAUAUCAGUCAAUUACUUACAGUCCAGAAUCAAUAUGCUACUCAAAUUAAUGAGUUGAAAGAGAGAUUAGCAAUUGAAAUAUCGCGAAAUGCUAUGGCUGCAACCAGAGUACCUAGUGGAGCAACAUUAUGUGGGUCAACAUCAAAUGUGACAUCUAUAAUGAUGCAGCAACAGUCACAAACUGUUGGUGAUCCAUUACUUAAUUCCAAUUCUACACGUUCAGCUGAAACAUAUCAAAAUGGCACAUCUACAAGUAGAUCAGUACAAAACGUUCUCCCUGGUGGAGGUAACAGUGGUAUUUUAUCAGAUCAAUUACUGCCCUUGUGUGAGUUGGGAGAACCUUCAAAUAUGCGUGCUCUUGGUUCCUCUUCAACGUUGUCUUCUAUUUCGUCCAAAACAAGCUUAAAACAACACAGAAUAAAUAACUUAAGCGUUGUUGAAGCUGAACCGCCCGGUAUGCAUAGUACAAACGAUAGUUCUGUAGGAGAUUGUCCAGCUACGAGUACUCACUCUCCGCCUCCUUCAUAUUCUUCGCCGACAGUACUUAAUCAACAACAACUAAAUCUCUUGUCUAGUAGCAGCAGUAGUGAUAGUGGAGAAUUAAGUGAACAUGAUAUAUAUUUGGAUGAGUGCGAACAUAAUGAACCACAUCUAACCCUUCUAGAUGACAAUUCUAAUGACGAGAAUGAUGUAGAUGAUGAAACAAUGUCAGGAGAAAACGACGUAGAAGUUGCAGAAUCAUUGACACCGUGGAUUCAGAAUAAGCAACGUACAAAGCAGCAGAGUAAUCGAGAGGGUACAGGAGAUAUUCGGAGAUUAGGCGGGAAUGAUAGUUUGGAAGAUGAGAUUAUGUUGCAGCUAUUCAAAAUACAAGAUCGAAAUUCUGCUUGGAGUUCACUAUGCUUUAAUCAACAUGUAGAUGAUAACUGUGAUUCAAGAACGUCAUUAACAGCUUUACAACACCAUAAUUCCAAUCCUUUACAACCAGAACAUGACUCAACAUCUAAUGAUCAAUUUACUGACAAACGUUCCACAUGUCCCUCGCAUCUAUGCCAGCCACAAAUGAUGUGCAGUGGUAGACCAAAAUUAAGUCAAUUAUCUAAUAUCUGUCCGCAAGAAGUUUCCGGAUUAAUUGCUUGCGGAAGUCAGACAAGAUCUGAACCUGCAACUCGCUCAAAUUCAAUAGACUGUGAAAAAGAACUUCCAAAUAUAUCUGUCGCUAAUAAAAUUAAUCACGAGGUAGAAACAUCCAGAUCUGAUUUGAUAGUGCCAAAUGUAUUAUUGGAUAGCAAUAAAAUUAUGUCGAAGCAUUUAUUAUCGCGACGACAAUCUUCACCGUCAUCGUCUGCUAACGUUAAUAUUAUAAAUAAUGAAAAUAACAAAAUAUUUGAAUUCGAACAAUUGCUGGAGACCAUUCAAUUGUCUUCGAUGUUUCAAAAGGACACUGCCAGUUGUUUCAAUAAAUUAAGGAAAAAUAUUCCGUUAGAGGGAAAAUCUAAUGGUUGUGUCACUGCCACUAUCAAAUCUACUGCACUUUCAUUAGGACAUGAUGUUCCAUUAUCGUCUACAAGCAAUGCAGCAACAGAUUCUAUACCGAGUCCCAAUAACUAUAGCUGGGCACCAGCGCUGUAUCAACACAAACACGGUCAGAAGAAUGUUUUAGAGACUACCAUGCCAGCAUCUUCUAAUGAUUCUUCCAAUAAAUGUACCGCGGAAAAAUCGUUAGAAGAAACUAACUCGUGAAAUUCGCUUUGAAUUGCAUCUGUGACACCUAACAUUACAAAUGUUCUGUGAUUUUUUUUAUUUAUCUAAACGUUAUGUUAACUAAUAUUAUUAAAAGUGAUAGAACAAUAGUAAAAACAGUAAGAUUUGGAGACCUGAUAUUUCAAUAUUUUGAUGUGUUUAAAAGGUAUAUAUAAAAAAAAAUAUACUAUGUAUAUAAAAUAUAUCCAAAUCUAAGUAAACUUAGACUCCAAUAUUAAUAUAUUGUAUAGUAUCAAAAUACUCAAUACGUUUAUCUCUGCAGAUGGUUAUGGUGUUACAAGUAUUAUGAGAACAAAUUUUAUAUUAUUUUUAUGUGAUUGCUUGUGAUUAUACAUAAAGCGAGCACAGCCCAUGACAGUGGAAUAAAAUAAAGAAUAUAACUAAUUA